UUUUCAGAAAAUAUGGUUCUAGAAAUCCAUCACGACAGAUAUGGACAUAAAUAUUAUACAUAUCCCGAACAUAGUAAAAUGUAUUACGAUUAUGGCCUGAGAGGAUCUCACCUGUUUUACGAACCUAACCGAACUAGGUGGCAUUAUAACUGUUACUGGCCCCAAGAAGCUUUGAAUUUUGCAACUGCUGAAGAUAAACGCCGUAGAAUGGUCCUCCGUAGCCGAAUGAGGGACGCUACUUUCAUACGUAAUAAAACAUAUCAGUAGAACCUACUGUAUUUUAAGGGUUUAAUUUAGUUACGAACGAAUUCCAGAAAGCAAUGUAACGGCGUAAAAGAUUAGAAAAUGUCUAAUCAUUGCGGAGUAACAAAUUAACAAUUAAAAUAAUGGCUAAUAAAUAUGGUGCUUAAAAUAGAGGUCCGUAAUUUCUGUAUAUCGCUAAAAGUCUUUAGAAAAGUUUAGUUAUUUUAAGUCAUGAGAGCAGUUACAGCUUUUCUAAUAAUUGCAACCAUUGCAACUUAAAUACCAAACAGUUACUGCUUAAAUGAUUUAAAAUCGGAAAUGUUGUUAAAAACACAAUACUUUUGAAGUUCCGUUGGGAAUUCAACUAAAGUAUUUGAAGUCACAAACAGCAAAUCAAAUUGAAAUAAAACCUAGCAUUUCUGGACUAUUUAAACUUU